GAGGGUAUAGCUCAAGCGGUAGAGCGCUUGCUUGGGAUGCACGAGGCCCUGGGUUCAAUUCCCCAGAGCCACCU
rnacentral:tRNA from 1 species